rnacentral:tRNA from 1 species
GUGAGUAUAAUUUAACUUAAAAUGUUAGAUUGUGAUUCUAAAAAUAGAGGUUAAAAUCCUCUUACCCACC